UUGAUAUAAAUACAAAUAAGUAAUUAUAUAAAAAUUAUAGGGUAAAUAACGAAUAUCUUAUAGCAUAAAAGUUUCUGGCGUCUAAUCGAACGAAAUAUACAAUGAGUCGAAAAAUUACUUAGAAUUGUAAAUUCCAGCAGAGAAAUCUAACAUUUAAAUAUUGUUCUUACCUAAUUAAGUGAAACAUCUCAAUAGUUAGAGGAAAGAAAAAUAAUUAAAGAUUUUGUUAGUAAUGGUGAGUGAAAACAAAGUAGCCAAAAUUUAAAUUUAAGAAAUUAGAAGUUUUAUAUGAUUUAAGCGCCACAGAAGGUGAAAGCCCUUUAUAUUUUUCUUAUUUUUAUUUAAAACAAAACAGUAAAAUAGAAUCUGUGAAAUUCUAUUGGAAGAAGGCAAACCCAUUUGCUAAGGCUAAAUAUACUUUUAUGACUAAUAGUGAACAAGUACUGUGAAGGAAAGAUGAAAAGACUAAGUUAAAAGAUCUUGAAAUUGUUUACCUUAAGGAUCUAAAGCACAGAAAUGUGUUAUAGGGUGCCUUUUGCAUAAUGAGCGGGCGAUUUCUAAAGAGCUAGCAAACUAUAGUCGUUAGACAAAGGUGAAGUGAAAGCGAGCUUUAAUUAAGCGCUAAGUUAGUUUUUUGAGACUCGAUACUAAGCGAUCUAUUUACUGCCAGAUUGAAAGUACUUUGAUACGUACUGAAGGAUCGAACCCAUGUAUGUUGCAUAAUACCGGGAUGAGUGGUAGCUAGGGGUGAAAGGCUAAUCAAGCUUAGUGUUAGCUAGUACUCUACGAAAUCUAUUUAGGUAGAGCGUUUUGUUUACAUUAUUGUUGGUAGAGCUCUAGGUAAGUAAUGGGAAUUAAUACUUCUACUGAGUUUACUUAAACUGCGAAUGACAAUAAAUUCUUUUUACAGAACAGGCAGAUUGCGGGCGCGAAGGUUCGUAAUCAAAAGGGAAACAGCCCAGAAUAUCAGCUAAAGUCCAUAAAAAUAAUUAAGUGUAUGAAAUAAUUCAAAGUGUUAUAACGAUUAGGAGGUUGGCUUAGAAGCAGCCAUCCUUUAAAGAAAGCGUAACAGCUCACUAAUUUUAUAAAAGCAUUAUAGAGUUUUAUGAUAUAACGGACUAAAAUUAUUUACUAAAGCUAUAUGUAAAUCGGUAGUAGAGUAUCUUAUAUUUAACAAGGUGAAUUCGUGAGAGUUUACUGAUAUAUUAAGAGAAAGUAUGCCUGUAUGAGUAGCAAAGAAUAGUGAGAAACUAUUCCACCGUAUAUAUAAGGUUUCCUAUUUAUAAAUUUAUUUUAAUAGGGUUAAUCGGCCCCUAAGUUUUAUAAUGAAAAUUAUAGGCGAUGGGUUUUGGGUUAAAAUUCUCAAAUUUUUCAGCAAGUGACAAAGGCGGCAAAUUAUCCAAUUUUAGUUAAUUGAUUGGGUAGUUAGGACCUUUCUGGAAAAAGCUCUGAAGUAAAAAAACCGUACUUAAAUCGGCUCCGAUAUUUUAAUAGAGUAUAUUAAGGUGAUAGGAUAAUAAUAUUGAAGGAACUCGGCAAAAUAGCUCCGUAACUUCGGGAGAAGGAGUACCUUUCGUAAGCAAUUACUUAUAGGUGUAACAGAAUAGAGGGUAGCGACUGUUUACUAAAAACACAGGACUCCGCUAAGUUGUAAAACGAUGUAUAGGGUCUGACACCUGCCCGGUGCUGAAAGACAAAAAGGAUUGGUAGAAAUGCCAUGAAUAUAAAUCUCAGUAAACGGCGGCUGUAACCAUAACGGUCCUAAGGUAGCGAAAUUCCUUGUCGGGUGAGUUCCGACCUGCAUGAAUGGUGUAACGACUUCCCUACUGUCUCCAGUAUUAGCCUAGUGAAAUUAAACUUGCUGUGAAGAUGCAGUAUAUAAAUGAUUGGACGGAAAGACCCUGUACACCUUUACUAUAAUCAUAAAUUGUUUUUAAAGUAUUGAAUAUGUAGAAUAAACAGUCAGCUUAUUACUCUUUAACGCUAGUUAAUUGUUGAGGCGCCGGUGAAAUACUGUUUUUUUAAUCUUUAAAACUAACUAAAAUUUUUAGGAUAUUUUAUGACUGGUAGUUUGACUGGGGUGGUCGCCUUCUAAAUAGUAACGAAGGCGUGCAAAUGGUAAUAAUGAUUAAUCAAAAAUUAAUCGAAAACUUAAUGGUAAAAGAUUGCUUGACUGAGUAGAUUGACAGAUCGAGUCAGAGACGAAAGUCGGCCAUAGUGAUCCAAUAGUGCUGAAUGGAAGGGCUAUUGCUUAACGGAUAAAAGGUACGUCAGGGAUAACAGGCUAAUGGGCCCUAAGAGUCCUUAUCGACGGGCUUGUUUGGUACCUCGAUGUCGACUCAUCACAUCCUGGAGCUGCAGGCGGUUCCAAGGGUUAGGCUGUUCGCCUAUUAAAGUGGUACGUGAGUUGGGUUUAGAACGUCGUGAGACAGUUCGGUUCCUAUCUGUCAUUUUAAUAAAAACUAAAAAAAUGUUUCUUUUGUACGAGAGGAUUGGGAAAUGUAUACCACUGGUAAAUCGAUUGUAUUGUUAAUGGCAUUGUCGAGUAGCUACGUAUAAAUUUUAUAAUUGCUGAUAGCGUAUAAGCAAGAAAAUAAUUUUUAUGUUUUUUUAAGCGGUCGUAGAUAAUGACUUUUAUAGGCGCGAAAUUAAAUUUGGUGACGAAUCGUUUACGCGUACUAAUUUUGUAUUUUUGUAUAUGACUUUUUUGCAAUUU
rnacentral:rRNA from 1 species